GGAACUCUUACACCCUCAUGCUGUUGUCCCGCGGUGGAUCUUGCCUCUAGAAACUGACUUUGGAAGUUUCCUUGGUGAAGGAGGAGGUCGGUUGCAAGAAAUCAAAGGGUCCUUUUCAUAGCUCUCUGCAUAGAUCCUGAGGGUGGCUCGCACAUGACUAGAAGCACUUAAUCUGAAGAUGAGCCUGGAUGCAUCUGAGAAAAUUAUCCUCAGCCCCUACAAAGAGAAAAUACAAUGUACCUGUGGCAACAGUAUCCUUGAGAAUAAUCAUGUGCUAAUAUUCCACCAACCAACAGUUGUUUUGCAAGAGUGCUUUUGUUUCCUUUGGGGAUUUAUUUAACACUAUUCCAUAAUGAUAAAAGUGGCCUGCAAGUUUGCCACCUA